UACAGAGGUCCCAAGCGUUGUUCGGAUUUACUGGGCGUAAAGGGUGCGUAGGAGGCUUGGAAAGUCAGGUGUGAAAUCUCACCGCUUAACGGUGAAAUGGCGCUUGAUACUCCCGGGCUGGAAGAUCGGAGGGGAGAACGGAAUUCCUGGUGUAGCGGUGAAAUGCGUAGAUAUCAGGAGGAACACCAACGGCGAAGGCAGUUCUCUGGACGAUUCUUGACUCUGAGGCACGAAGGCCAGGGGAG
rnacentral:rRNA from 1 species